rnacentral:rRNA from 1 species
UGCCAGCAGCCGCGGUAAUACGGAGGGUGCAAGCGUUGUUUGGAAUUAUUGGGCGUAAAGGGCGUGUAGGCGGCUUGAUAAGUCGAAGGUGAAAUCCCAUGGCUCAACCAUGGAACUGCCUUCGAAACUGUCUGGCUAGAGUUCGGGAGAGGGUAGUGGAAUUCCCAGUGUAACGGUGAAAUGCGUAGAUAUUGGGAGGAACACCAGUGGCGAAGGCGACUACCUGGACCGACACUGACGCUGAGGCGCGAAAGCGUGGGUAGCAAACAGGAUUAGAUA